rnacentral:lncRNA from 12 species
GGGUGCUGUGGGAAAAAGUUCUUGCACCUGCUGUGCUUUCAAUCUUCACCUCUUGGCCAACACCCCCCCGCCCCCCCAAGUCCCUGUCCAACCCUCCCAAGAGUAUCUUACUCUGAUGCACCGGGACUGGGCUGCUCCUGCACCGCCUGCUUACAGGAUCUCCUAGACCCUCAGCUUUGCUUCCCCAGAAGAUGCUCUUUUCUGCCUUUUAGGGUUCUCCAGUGACCUGGCCCUCAACCUCUCAUUGCAACUCUGUUCUUAAUCCUGUGUCAGCCCCUCGCACCGAGGUUGCUCUGCUUUCUCACUCUAGACCCCCCUCUGCACAGUGCAUGUUGCUUCCUUUACUCCCCCUCGCUGCCCUUUACCCACUCAGCCCCCCGCUUCCUAACAGGCUCCCCACCUCACUCGCUGGGAAGAGAUGACCCACAAGUACUGGAAGAGUCAUUUGCAAGCCGUGGGAGCAUUUGGGGGGCCUCGGGAGACCAAGCAUCAGGGGCGAGCAGGUGUUCUUCAGGAGGAGAAGGACUGGGAGGGACUUUCCAUCAGGAGAGCGACCCAAAGCUACUCUCCUACAUCCUGUCCACCCCGGAGUAGAUUGCUCACUCUUCAGGUGGCAGAGGAGGAGCAUUACCAGGCUGAGUGUCGGAUCAAGACCUGUGAGACCCCAGUUGCUUGAUCCUCCUCAUAUCUCCUAUCCCAGUUUAAUACUGAGCAUAAAUAUAUCCGCCAUCCUGACCCCUACAAGGACAGAAUUCUGAAUAUGAGGUACGACGGGACUGGGAUUUUGCUUCUCCAAAGAGAACCAUAGAGAUAGACGUUUUUAUCUAAAUUAAUCCAUCAAGUGACCAUUAACUAGGGUCACGUGGUGUUGCACACUAGGGCUUUGCAUUAUUGAUUUCUUUAAACAAGCCCUUGGUGGAAAGGCCACUUGGGAAAGAGAAUUAUUCAUAAAGCUGGACAAUGAAAUUGCUCCAGGCCACACCCUGCUUUUUCUGGAGAGUCUUGGAGAGAACAUGCUUCUCCUCCCUGCUGCCCUGGCCCGGGAAAUCUCAGUGUGAUGGUCACCGAGGGUCUCCACCCCUCAGCCUCCUGAUCAGACACUGCCAACUGGGCCUAACUGGAGAGAAUCCUAGUCUCCAAGGCAAGUCAGUAACUCUGGGCAAUCGUAUGGUUUACAUUCUGCAACAGCUGAGCUUCCAGCAUUCUCAUCCUCUGGGAGGAGGAGAAAGGCGGGGUCACCCACACUGUUUGCCUUGA